rnacentral:tRNA from 1 species
GUAGCUCAGCUGGAUAGAGCGUUGCCCUCCGAAGGCAAAGGUCACACGUUCGAAUCGUGUC